rnacentral:rRNA from 1 species
AUUGAACGCUGGCGGCAUGCUUUACACAUGCAAGUCGAACGGUAACAGGCCGCAAGGUGCUGACGAGUGGCGAACGGGUGAGUAAUGCAUCGGAACGUGCCCAGUCGUGGGGGAUAACGCAGCGAAAGCUGCGCUAAUACCGCAUACGAUCUCUGGAUGAAAGCGGGGGACCGAAAGGCCUCGCGCGAUUGGAGCGGCCGAUGUCAGAUUAGGUAGUUGGUGGGGUAAAGGCCCACCAAGCCAACGAUCUGUAGCUGGUCUGAGAGGACGACCAGCCAAACUGGGACUGGGACACGGCCCAGACUCCUACGGGAGGCAGCAGUGGGGACUUUUGGACAAUGGGCGCAAGCCUGAUCCAGCAAUGCCGCGUGCAGGAAGAAGGCCUUCGGGUUGUAAACUGCUUUUGUACGGAACGAAACGGUCCGGGUUAAUACCCUGGGCUAAUGACGGUACCGUAAGAAUAAGCACCGGCUAACUACGUGCCAGCCGCCGCCGUAACAC